rnacentral:rRNA from 1 species
UGACUAUAUGUUUAACGGCCGCGGUAUUUUAACCGUGCAAAGGUAGCGCAAUCACUUGUCUUUUAAAUGAAGACCUGUAUGAAUGGUAUUACGAGGGCUUAACUGUCUCCUUUUUCAAGUCAGUGAAAUUGAUCUCCCCGUGCAGAAGCGGGGAUAAGACCAUAAGACGAGAAGACCCUAUGGAGCUUUAGACACCAAGGCAAAUCAAGUUAAACACCCCUAAACAAAGGACUAAACCUAUUGAAUCUUGCCCGUAUGUCUUCGGUUGGGGCGACCAUGGGGAAACAAGAAACCCCCACGUGGAACGGGAGCACAACCUCCUACAGCUGAGAGCUGCCGCUCUAAUAAGCAGAACUUCUGACCAAUAAGAUCCGGCAACGCCGAUCAACGGACCAAGUUACCCUAGGGAUAACAGCGCAAUCCCCUUUUAGAGCCCCUAUCGACAAGGGGGUUUACGACCUCGAUGUUGGAUCAGGACAUCCCAAUGGUGCAGCCGCUAUUGAAGGUUCGUUUGUUCAACGAUUAAAGUCCUACGUGAUCUGAG